CAGUAGCCGCGGUAAAACGUAGGGUGCGAGCGUUAAUCGGAAUUAUUGGGCGUAAAGGGCUCGCAGGCGGUUUCUUAAGUCUGAUGUGAAAGCCCCCGGCUCAACCGGGGAGGGUCAUUGGAAACUGGGAAACUUGAGUGCAGAAGAGGAGAGUGGAAUUCCACGUGUAGCGGUGGAAUGCGUAGAGAUGUGGAGGAACACCAGUGGCGAAGGCGACUCUCUGGUCUGUAACUGACGCUGAGGAGCGAAAGCGUGGGGAGCGAACAGGAUUAGAUACCCCAGUAGUUCCUGUCUCUUAUAC
rnacentral:rRNA from 1 species